UGAAGAAAAGGCAACAGGCAUGAACCACUUUUAAGAAAAAGAUGAAACUACAAUAUUAGGAAAUAUAUAAAGCUGAUAUGAUAAAUGCAUUAGACAUAGUUCAAGUACAGAGUACAUGACCUCUUCCUACAGAUUUUGAAACCUAAAGCAUUUAAUAAUUGAAGAGAACAGAACUUUGACAGGCGAUGUCCUCAAAUACCAAUCUGAAAGAAAUCAAUAAAAAUAAGGUCUCCAGUGUACCGAAGAUCUGCUAAGACUAGUUUAUUACUCUAGAA
rnacentral:misc_RNA from 1 species